rnacentral:rRNA from 1 species
ACCUGCCUGAUACCGGGGUAUAGCCCAUGGAAACGUGGAUUAACACCCCAUAGUACUUUUAUCCUGCCUGGGAUGGGAGUUAAAUGUUCAAGGUAUCGGAUGGGCAUGCGUCCUAUUAGUUAGUUGGCGGGGUAACAGCCCACCAAGACGAUGAUAGGUAGGGGUUCUGAGAGGAAGGUCCCCCACAUUGGAACUGAGACACGGUCCAAACUCCUACGGGAGGCAGCAGUGAGGAAUAUUGGUCAAUGGACGAGAGUCUGAACCAGCCAAGUCGCGUGAGGGAAGACUGCCCUAUGGGUUGUAAACCUCUUUUAUAAGGGAAGAAUAAGUUCUACGUGUAGAAUGAUGCCUGUACCUUAUGAAUAAGCAUCGGCUAACUCCGUGCCAGCAGCCGCGGUAAUACGGAGGAUGCGAGCGUUAUCCGGAUUUAUUGGGUUUAAAGGGUGCGUAGGCGGUUUAUUAAGUUAGUGGUUAAAUAUUUGAGCUAAACUCAAUUGUGCCAUUAAUACUGGUAAACUGGAGUACAGACGAGGUAGGCGGAAUAAGUUAAGUAGCGGUGAAAUGCAUAGAUAUAACUUAGAACUCCGAUAGCGAAGGCAGCUUACCAGACUGUAACUGACGCUGAUGCACGAGAGCGUGGGUAGCGAACAGGAUUAGAUACCCUGGUAGUCCACGCCGUAAACGAUGCUCACUGGUUCUGUGCGAUAUAUUGUACGGGAUUAAGCGAAAGUAUUAAGUGAGCCACCUGGGGAGUA